UUCGAUCCAAUCUAUCCCCAUACGGUAAGAUUCUCAGUCAUCAAUUCCUGCUGAGGACCAACUAAUUGUUGAUGAGAUGCAUGUGCAAGGCGUGAACUGUAGCACCACGGUAUAUAUUUUCUUAAGUAUAUGUGAUUUGUGCAUAAUACAAUGAGUUUAUAUGUACUUGGAAGCAGUGUCUUCUUUUUUCGUCAACGGUACAGUACACUGCAUGUACAACAAUAGUGGCCGAGAGGGUUAUUUGCAUUGUUGGUCCUCGUGGAAUCAAUAGACUGCAGCUCUUUAUUUGUAUACUCUCCUGCUUUUUGUAGUGUGUUAUUGGUUGCUAGACACAAAGGCAUACACAAAUCUUUGCUCGUGCUAUUAUUUAUUCAGGAAGCACCUAGCAGUGUAAUCUCAUGUAUCAAGUAAGAUCCUGCUAUUUGAUGCAAAGAGUUGUCUGAUAUGUUUCCUCUUUUUUUGACAUAAUUAUCCAGUGAUAUAUUUCCCCUUCGAUAUUUUUAUUGGAUGUUUAUUAUUUUUGACAUAAGUAUACUCUCUUUUGGCCUAAUUAGACAAUGGUGUCAAUUUUUAAUGACAAUGCUAGGAGUGAAUAUGGACUCUGGACUUCUUGCGCUUUUAGUGUGUUUGUUCUUCCCUAGCCUAGGUAGAGUAAGAAGGAGGUUUGUAUUCCCCGGUUAAGGAAUCUUUGUUUGGCAAAAAAAUCCCUUAAUUUCGGGCUGUUUUUUCAUCUCUUGCGCGUUCAAUUAUUGUUUGGGUGAUCUUUUCUACCUGGUUGCGAAAUUUAUUCGUGGUUGACGAAUGUCGUGCAGGUCGAAGGGGGUUGUCUGAACCCGGCGUUAGCAUUAAAAAUCACUUUAUCUCCACUGGCGAACCUAGGCGCAACACAUCCUUCACAUCACUGGCGGUGUAUCAUUCCCCUGUGUCUCAACAGUUUUUUAGAUAUCCGACAAAGUGUGCCUUUUAGUUAUCCGACGUCGAUGUUAUAUCAUUCAAACUCAAAGUUCAGCUUGCAAGCUCUUAUGUUAUUAUCUUACCAGUGUUUUGUUUCAAAUGCUUUGCCUUAAUUCAGACCUUUGAUGCUACGAUCAUAUCAUGGAGAUAGUCUUUGUUAGUUUUUAUUGUAAUACUGCUCGGAUGGUUGACAACUUUCUUUAUGGGAUGAUAAAUGUUCUUUAAUCUUUUGUUUUGUCAGUCUUGUUUGAGUGGUAAAUUAUUCUUCAGGUUUGUAAGAACAAAUUUAUGGAGCACAAUAUCAACCAUAUGAAAUCGUGGCCCAUGCUUAUUUUAUUAAGCUAGGGAAUUCAACUUUUAUCUUCCGUUGCAACACACGGGCAU
rnacentral:lncRNA from 1 species